rnacentral:rRNA from 1 species
UACGGGGGGGGCAAGCGUUGUUCGGAAUUACUGGGCGUAAAGGGCUCGUAGGCGGCCAACUAAGUCAGACGUGAAAUCCCUCGGCUUAACCGGGGAACUGCGUCUGAUACUGGAUGGCUUGAAUCCGGGAGAGGGAUGCGGAAUUCCAGGUGUAGCGGUGAAAUGCGUAGAUAUCCUAAGGAACACCGGUGGCGAAGGCGGCAUCCUGGACCGGCAUUGACGCUGAAUAGCGAAAGCCAGGGGAGCAAACGGG